rnacentral:snoRNA from 1 species
GACAUGGACGAUCUGAAUCGCUGAGAUUGUAAACGUUGUUGUAUGGAAUCCUACAUUUGAGAUGUUGGUAGUUAGAGGAGGUCUCAUCUUUGCGUUAGAAAGAGAGACGCA